rnacentral:rRNA from 1 species
GCUAACUCUGGGCCAGGUGCCGCGGUAAGACGGAGGGGCCGAGCGGUAAUCGGAAUGACUGGGCGGAAAGCGUGCGCAAGCGGUUUGUUAAGCGAGAUGUGAAAUCCCUGGGCUCAACCUAGGAAUAGCAUUGCGAACUGGCGAACUAGAGUCUUGUAGAGGGGUGUAGAAUUCCAGGUGUAGCGGUGAAAUGCGUAGAGAUCUGGAGGAAUACCGGUGGCGAAGGCGGCCCCCUGGACAAAGACUGACGCUCAGGUGCGAAAGCGUGGGGAGCAAACAGGAUUAGAUACCCGUGUAGUC